AUCUCCAUGAGACAAAACUUAAAGAAAAGAAUAACCUGGAGUCUCAAGAGGAGGAUAGCCAUGUCUGUCCAGGUGCCCCUGAUCAACCUCACCAAGGUCUGCCAGGAGCACUCAGGAGACAGACAACUGCUAUCAGCCCUACUGCACCAUCUACCACGAAGGCAAGGAGCUGUUGCAGUGUAGCAAUGCAGUACCACGUCUGCCAGCAGCACCCAGAAGACGUACUGUGACGAUUCAAGUAUUUUGUAUUCUCCUCAUCUCAUCUCAUCUCUGAAGAGUUUGCUUUCUCCAAACGCAGAAGAUAAUUACUGAUAGUAAAGAAGAGUAUGUUUGUGAAGAUGGCACCUACAGAAACAUUUCCUUUGAAGAUAUAACAUAUAUUAUGGGGCAGGAGCUUUUUGGGUAUCUGAUGUGGUAGUAACAGCAUCAGGCAUCAUCAGUAGUAGAAUAUAAGGCAGCUUUAUCAGCUAUUUUUUUCUGAAUUCAAGAUGUUCUCAAGUUUUGUCCUCUGGAAGAAGACACGUUCUUGUGACUGAACAGCAUAUUUUAAAUGUGAAGACCCAGUUCAUCAGCUGGUGUAAAGUGGUGAGUCAGCAUUGUCUCAAGUGAGGCGUUAAAUAGGGUCAGUAAAAGGGCAACCUGACAGUAAUGCAUGCAUAGUGAAAUCAAUCACAUAACUGGGAACGUGUGCAAGGACGUAGAUAUCCCACAGUACCCCUCUGAAUUAGAGUCAAGGGCAGAAGAGCUGUACCGGGAGAUCUUUGUGUGUCAGAAAAAACAUUAUCUGUGCGGUACCAAACCAUCUUGCA